rnacentral:lncRNA from 1 species
CAUUCAAUUUCUCCAGGGUCCUGACAAAGGGCCUCUUUCCCUUGCUCAUUUUUUUUUUGAGGAAGAUUAGCCCUGAGCCAACAUCUGCCACCAAUCCUUCUCUUUUUGCUGAGGAAGACUGGCCCUGAACUAACAUCCAUGCCUAUCUUCCCCUACUUUAUAAGUGGGACACCUGCCAUAGCAUGGCUUGAUGAGCAGUGCAUAGGUCCGCACCUAGGAUCGGAACCGGCAAACCCUGGGCCACCAAAGCGGAGCGCUAACUUAACUGCUGUGCCACUGACUGGCCCCCUUCCCUCGCUCAUUCAAUUAGGCAAGAUAAGGAAGCCAUGGGCUAUUCCUUUCCCUUCUUUCUUUUCUUGCUUAAACGGUUUUUUUAGAAUGGAUUUUAUUUGCAAAUAUUAGCAUCAUGUCUAUUUUUGCGUUAGCUUGCAAUGUCUAAAUUAAUGGUAUCAUCCAGUCCAUUGCUUCUUAAUUUCAGAAGCAAAAUCGUGAGGGUUUCUAUGUAAGGAAGCUGGAGAGGAGGCUGCAUGCGUGGAAUGCACUUGGCCCAGGUCUUCCAUGAGUAUUCUGUCUGAAUUCGCUGCCAUCCUGAAAGAAGUGCUUCCCUCCUCCUCUGGUCCUCCUGGUGAUGGGAGAGGAAGGGAUUCCUCCUAUUUUCUGCAGCUGUUUACUUAGGCAGCCAUCAAUAAUUCAGGACAUCAGCUCCUUCCUGAAAGCCCAGGUGAGGGCAAAGGGCCUAGCCCAGGCCAGCAGCUCAUUUGCUCCAUCCUGCAAGACUCAGCUGAUAUCCCGCAGGCUCCUGGCUGGCCAGACCACAGCUGUGCUUGGAGAGGAGAACAAGGUAAGCUUUGACUUUGGAGUUGAGAUCUGGUUUUGUUUUCUCCCUUAGCUACUUCCCCAGCUCUCCUUAGUCUAUGAGAAUGCCAGAGGCCACAUCUGGGGCGGAGACCCUUCUAUCUCUUCUGAGUAGCAGCAUGCUACCCACAGAAGGCUGGGAUCCCAGCCUCAGACUCCAGCUUCUCACACCAGACCAGUGAAACAGGCUUUUCUGAAGAGAAGCAGCACAAUGCAAAUAUUUGAAUCUCUCUUCAUUUUCCUCUCCCUCCAAGCAAGGCACAGAAGUCAUGGUUUAAAGCAGAAGAGGGUGAAAGGGUCGCUGCCCACUACACCCAUUUGGGGGGCCACUGCAGUAGAACGCUGUGUCUGACUUGGUCCCUGGGUGUGGUUGCUGCAUCUUGCUCAUCUCCCCAUGGCUAAUGCUUAACACAAAUCCUGGACUGUGACUUGAAAACGGACACCUUCUUCCUAAUAUAAUCCAGCCCACGAAAUAUUCCUCUGAGUCAGCAAUCUCUUGACCGAGGGGAACAUGCUACAGAUCCUGGGAAAGAGAGUGAAGGAAAUUAGCAAAUGGCAGCUUCCUGCACUUUGCCACAAACAAUAACAAAACCCGUCAAAGGAGCAGAAUAUGGCAGUCAAUAUGGAUUUUCUCAUUCCUGUCAAUCAAAGGGCUUUCAAACACAGGAGAUGCUCCCACUCUGUGCUCACUGUUGGUUUGGGUAGAAGGCCAGGGGGUCUCUCUAAAGAUGUUAAGCAUUUAACACAUGGUGCAGGAGGCCCUGCCUGUGUGCUUGCUAGGAGAGGGCCUAUCUCUCUCAAAUGUGUAGGAUCACUAGGAAUUUGCACAAGAACUUUUGUCUGCUGUGUUUGCUAAGGCACAGCACAAUACUGAUGAGGCAGUAGAUAAUUUACGGGGUUUUUUAAAAAAACAAAUUCUUCUGAGUAGAGUAUAAAUUAUAGUAGUUUAACGUGUCCAUAAUAUAGAACACGCUGCAUGUGUGGAGAAGAGGAGUAAGUUAGGGAAAAUAGAAACUGCUUUAUUAAGACGGAAUUUCACUGUAUUUUACAGCAUAAUACUAAUUCCCAACAACCAGGAUAGAUUCUUUUCAUAGUGAACAAAGUUCAUAAGAAAACUAUGUGAAUAUUCUCUGGAGACCCUAAAGACAGAGAGAAAUUGAAUAAAAAUAAAUCAGCUUGAAAAUCCAUGAAUGUUUCUGCAGAGUAUCAGGACAUCAGCAGUUGGGAAACUAACGCAUUCAAAUUAUUAUUACUACUUUGUAUUAGAGCAGCUAUUUAAUUGUCACCAAUGAGAGGAAAGUGGUGUAUUUUUCAGUUUGGCAUUUUCAGAACUGUCAGUGAUCAGAUAAAUAAAUAAAUAUGCAAGCGAAUUAUUUUUAUCUCUUCCUGUUUUAGCUAAGUAGCCGGUCAAUGGUCUUUAAUAGAUUUUAUUUCUAAAAGCCACACUUAAGAAAGGAAGGUCAACAGAUGAAAAGGAUCCAGCCUCUUGGG